AUACUCAUGUGAUUAGGGUUCUUCUCUUUUAUGGUAUCAUAUGCCUCCAUAUCUUGGAUUUGCUGACACCAACUUGGUACUGUUGGACUAAGUUCAUAUUAUAACAUUUGUAGAGCUACUGUAAGACCUCAAGUCCUGUAUGGUGCUAGUCACUAGUUUUGAAGCUUUUGACUGGUAUUAGUCAAGAACAAGAACUCCAGAUGUAGAAAACAGAACAUGACUGAAUGAAUAGACAAAUAUG